rnacentral:misc_RNA from 1 species
AUUUCUCAACUGUUAUCAAGCUUUAUUGCUGUUAAUUCGUUGGACUUGGGGGUUCUGGCGUUUUAUGUCGGCUCCCCUUAAAUCUAUUAGCUGGUUUCUAAUGACUUGUCUAAUUGGUGUGAUAAAUUAUCUACGCCAUUGACUUGUUGUUUUUACCGCUUCUAAUUGUCUGUUCAUUCAGACUAUAUAAUGACA